rnacentral:rRNA from 1 species
GGGUUGUGAGGUUAAGCGACUAAGCGUACACGGUGGAUGCCCUGGCAGUCAGAGGCGAUGAAGGGCGUGCUAAUCUGCGAUAAGCGCCGGUAAGGUGAUAUGAACCGUUAUAACCGGCGAUACCCGAAUGGGGAAACCCAGUGUGAUUCGUCACACUAUCAUUAACUGAAUCCAUAGGUUAAUGAGGCGAACCGGGGGAACUGAAACAUCUAAGUACCCCGAGGAAAAGAAAUCAACCGAGAUUCCCCCAGUAGCGGCGAGCGAACGGGGAGGAGCCCAGAGCCUGAAUCAGCAUGUGUGUUAGUGGAAGCGUCUGGAAAGGCGCGCGAUACAGGGUGACAGCCCCGUACACAAAAGCGCAUGUGCUGUGAGCUCGAUGAGUAGGGCGGGACACGUGGUAUCCUGUCUGAAUAUGGGGGGACCAUCCUCCAAGGCUAAAUACUCCUGACUGACCGAUAGUGAACCAGUACCGUGAGGGAAAGGCGAAAAGAACCCCGGCGAGGGGAGUGAAAAAGAACCUGAAACCGUGUACGUACAAGCAGUGGGAGCACCCUUUGGGGUGUGACUGCGUACCUUUUGUAUAAUGGGUCAGCGACUUAUAUUCUGUAGCAAGGUUAACCGUAUAGGGGAGCCGCAGGGAAACCGAGUCUUAAUUGGGCGUUAAGUUGCAGGGUAUAGACCCGAAACCCGGUGAUCUAGCCAUGGGCAGGUUGAAGGUUGGGUAACACUAACUGGAGGACCGAACCGACUAAUGUUGAAAAAUUAGCGGAUGACCUGUGGCUGGGGGUGAAAGGCCAAUCAAACCGGGAGAUAGCUGGUUCUCCCCGAAAGCUAUUUAGGUAGCGCCUCGUGAAUUCAUCUCCGGGGGUAGAGCACUGUUUCGGCUAGGGGGCCAUCCCGGCUUACCAACCCGAUGCAAACUGCGAAUACCGGAGAAUGUUAUCACGGGAGACACACGGCGGGUGCUAACGUCCGUCGUGAAGAGGGAAACAACCCAGACCGCCAGCUAAGGUCCCAAAGUCAUGGUUAAGUGGGAAACGAUGUGGGAAGGCCCAGACAGCCAGGAUGUUGGCUUAGAAGCAGCCAUCAUUUAAAGAAAGCGUAAUAGCUCACUGGUCGAGUCGGCCUGCGCGGAAGAUGUAACGGGGCUAAACCAUGCACCGAAGCUGCGGCAGCGAACGUAUCACUUAAAGCGAUUCAGCGGGUUACGAUUGACGGAGCGAAGCGACGUCAAAGCGUAUACAAAGUCGAGUCGGUUUAAGGAUACGUUCG